rnacentral:rRNA from 1 species
AGGGAUGCAACACGAGGACUUUCCUGGAGGUCACCCAUCCUAGUACUACUCUCGCCCAAGCACGCUUAACUGCGGAGUUUUGAUGGGAUCUGGUGCAUUAGUGCUGGUAUGAUCACAUCC